CACGUAGGGUGCGAGCGUUGUCCGGAAUUAUUGGGCGUAAAGGGCUCGUAGGCGGUGUGUCGCGUCGGCCGUGAAAACCUGCAGCUUAACUGUGGGCUUGCGGUCGAUACGGGCAGACUGGAGUACUGCAGGGGAGACUGGAAUUCCUGGUGUAGCGGUGGAAUGCGCAGAUAUCAGGAGGAACACCGGUGGCGAAGGCGGGUUGCUAGGCUGACACUGACGCUGAGGCGCGAAAGCCAGGGGAGCAAACGGG
rnacentral:rRNA from 1 species